rnacentral:rRNA from 1 species
UACGUAGGGGGCAAGCGUUGUCCGGAUUUAUUGGGCGUAAAGAGCUCGUAGGCGGACUGUCACGUCUGCUGUGAAAAGCUGGGGCUUAACCCUGGCCUUGCAGUGGAUACGGGCAGACUAGAGGUAGGUAGGGGAGAAUGGAAUUCCCGGUGUAGCGGUGAAAUGCGCAGAUAUCGGGAGGAACACCGGUGGCGAAGGCGGUUCUCUGGGACGGUACUGACGCUGAGACGCGAAAGCGUGGGGAGCGAACAGG